rnacentral:RNase_P_RNA from 1 species
ACCGCCAAACAAAGUACAACUCUCCGAGACUUCGGAGAGAGGAAAGUCCUGACAUCAUAACUCGGGAGGUAGCUCACGGCUACUGGACGGCUCACGCCCAAAGGAAAGUGCCACAGAAACGUAAACUAACUUCGUACACCUACGAGGUCAAAGAUGCAACGUGAAGAUGGAGCGUCAUAACUCCUACUUCUCCUCAGCUUAGUUGAUAACUAUGCGAGUGGUAAACCCCUUCCUGAUGCAAGCUUGCCCGCAAGGGAAGUGCAAGAAACUCUCAAGCAGAGUGCUAGAUAAAUCGUACUUGAAACACAGAAUCAGGCUUAUUGUUUGGCAAAUCUU